UACGUAGGGGGCAAGCGUUGUCCGGAUUAUUGGGCGUAAAGAGCGUGUAGGCGGCUUUACAGGUCCGUUGUGAAAACUCGAGGCUCAACCUCGAGACGCCGGUGGAAACCGUAAAGCUAGAGUCCGGAAGAGGAGAGUGGAAUUCCUGGUGUAGCGGUGAAAUGCGCAGAUAUCAGGAGGAACACCGAUGGCGAAGGCAGCUCGCUGGGACGGUACUGACGCUGGAGACGCGAAAGCGUGGGGAGCAAACAGG
rnacentral:rRNA from 1 species